CAAAUCUCCACAGCUCUCCUCUAGCCUUAACAGCCUCAAUUAGCAUUCCACCUUUUACUGAACCACUGUCAUCCCUGAUUACUGCAACCAUCACUUCUGUUUUGCUGUGCUCUGAGAACGUUGCAUCUGUAUUGAUCUUGAGGCAUUCUUUGGGCAGUGGCCUCCACUUUACUGGUAUGGUUCCUCUACUGGCUUUGAUUCUAUUUGCUCUGUGGUAUCCCUGGCUUUCUUGUAUUCUGUUUCUUGUACUCUAGCUUGGAUUAUAGUGCUUAGAGGAUCUGGUUUUAGAUUGUGAAAUAUUGCUGCAUUUUUUGUCUUCCAUAUAGCCCAGAUCAUGUGCCCCAUGCUGCUCCAUCUGUCAUCCCCCUCUUCUUUGCUCCCUUCCUUGAUAAUACUUUCUGCUUGCAUUAGCUAUUC